UACGAGUGCCCCGAGCGUUAUCCGGAAUUAUUGGGCGUAAAGGGUGUGUAGGCGGUUUUGUUAGUCGGUUGUUAAAGCUCUUGGCUUAACCAAGAAAAUGCAACCGAAACGGCAAAUCUAGAGGAUGCGAGAGGUGAACAGAACUCAUAGUGUAGGGGUGAAAUCCGUUGAUAUUAUGGGGAAUACCAAAUGCGAAGGCAGUUCACUGGCGCAUUCCUGACGCUGAAACACGAAAGCGUGGGUAGCGAAUGGG
rnacentral:rRNA from 1 species